rnacentral:rRNA from 1 species
AUUGAACGCUGGCGGCAGGCCUAACACAUGCCAGUCGAGCGGAUGAAGGGAGCUUGCUCCUGGAUUCAGCGGCGGACGGGUGAGUAAUUCCUAGGAAUCUGCCUGGUAGUGGGGGAUAACGUCCGGAAACGGGCGCUAAUACCGCAUACGUCCUGAUGGAGCAAGUGGGGGAUCUUCGGACCUCACGCUAUCAGAUGAGCCUAGGUCGGAUUAGCUAGUUGGUGUGGUAAAGGCCUACCAAGGCGACGAUCCGUAACUGGUCUGAGAGGAUGAUCAGUCACACUGGAACUGAGACACGGUCCAGACUCCUACGGGAGGCAGCAGUGGGGAAUAUUGGACAAUGGGCGAAAGCCUGAUCCAGCAAUGCCGCGUGUGUGAAGAAGGUCUUCGGAUUGUAAAGCACUUUAAGUUGGGAGGAAGGGCAGUAAGUUAAUACCUUGCUGUUUUGACGUUACCAACAGAAUAAGCACCGGCUAACUUCGUG